UAUUACAAUGAAGAGUUUGAUCCUGGCUCAGGAUGAACGCUAGCUACAGGCUUAACACAUGCAAGUCGAGGGGCAGCAUGGUCUUAGCUUGCUAAGGCCGAUGGCGACCGGCGCACGGGUGAGUAACACGUAUCCAACCUGCCGUCUACUCUUGGACAGCCUUCUGAAAGGAAGAUUAAUACAAGAUGGCAUCAUGAGUCCGCAUGUUCACAUGAUUAAAGGUAUUCCGGUAGACGAUGGGGAUGCGUUCCAUUAGAUAGUAGGCGGGGUAACGGCCCACCUAGUCUUCGAUGGAUAGGGGUUCUGAGAGGAAGGUCCCCCACAUUGGAACUGAGACACGGUCCAAACUCCUACGGGAGGCAGCAGUGAGGAAUAUUGGUCAAUGGGCGAGAGCCUGAACCAGCCAAGUAGCGUGAAGGAUGACUGCCCUAUGGGUUGUAAACUUCUUUUAUAAAGGAAUAAAGUCGGGUAUGGAUACCCGUUUGCAUGUACUUUAUGAAUAAGGAUCGGCUAACUCCGUGCCAGCAGCCGCGGUAAUACGGAGGAUCCGAGCGUUAUCCGGAUUUAUUGGGUUUAAAGGGAGCGUAGAUGGAUGUUUAAGUCAGUUGUGAAAGUUUGCGGCUCAACCGUAAAAUUGCAGUUGAUACUGGAUAUCUUGAGUGCAGUUGAGGCAGGCGGAAUUCGUGGUGUAGCGGUGAAAUGCUUAGAUAUCACGAAGAACUCCGAUUGCGAAGGCAGCCUGCUAAGCUGCAACUGACAUUGAGGCUCGAAAGUGUGGGUAUCAAACAGGAUUAGAUACCCUGGUAGUCCACACGGUAAACGAUGAAUACUCGCUGUUUGCGAUAUACUGCAAGCGGCCAAGCGAAAGCGUUAAGUAUUCCACCUGGGGAGUACGCCGGCAACGGUGAAACUCAAAGGAAUUGACGGGGGCCCGCACAAGCGGAGGAACAUGUGGUUUAAUUCGAUGAUACGCGAGGAACCUUACCCGGGCUUAAAUUGCAGAUGAAUUACGGUGAAAGCCGUAAGCCGCAAGGCAUCUGUGAAGGUGCUGCAUGGUUGUCGUCAGCUCGUGCCGUGAGGUGUCGGCUUAAGUGCCAUAACGAGCGCAACCCUUGUUGUCAGUUACUAACAGGUCAUGCUGAGGACUCUGACAAGACUGCCAUCGUAAGAUGUGAGGAAGGUGGGGAUGACGUCAAAUCAGCACGGCCCUUACGUCCGGGGCUACACACGUGUUACAAUGGGGGGUACAGAGGGCCGCUACCACGCGAGUGGAUGCCAAUCCCCAAAACCUCUCUCAGUUCGGACUGGAGUCUGCAACCCGACUCCACGAAGCUGGAUUCGCUAGUAAUCGCGCAUCAGCCACGGCGCGGUGAAUACGUUCCCGGGCCUUGUACACACCGCCCGUCAAGCCAUGGGAGCCGGGGGUACCUGAAGUGCGUAACCGCGAGGAGCGCCCUAGGGUAAAACUGGUGACUGGGGCUAAGUCGUAACAAGGUAGCCGUACCGGAAGGUGCGGCUGGAACACCUCCUUUCU
rnacentral:rRNA from 1 species